rnacentral:rRNA from 1 species
CCUACGGGAGGCAGCAGUGGGGGAUAUUGCACAAUGGGGGGAACCCUGAUGCAGCGACGCCGCGUGGGUGAAGAAGCGCCUCGGGGCGUAAAGCCCUGUCAGCAGGGAAGAAAAUGAAGGUACCUGAAGAAGAAGCCCCGGCCAACUACGUGCAAGCAGCCGCGGUAAUACGCAGGGGGCAAGCGUAUCCGGGUUUACUGGGUGUAAAGGGGGCGCAGACGGCGAUGCAAGCCAGGAGUGAAAGCCCGGGGCCCAACCCCGGGACUGCUCUUGGAACUGGGUGGCUGGAGUGCAGGAGGGGCAGGCGGAAUUCCUGGUGUAGCGGUGAAAUGCGUAGAUAUCAGGAGGAACUCCGGUGGCGAAGGCGGCCUGCUGGACUGCAACUGACGCUGAUGCGCGAAAGCGUGGGGAGCAAACAGGAUUAGAUACCCCUGUAGUC